GAUGAACGCUGGCGGCGUGCCUAAUACAUGCAAGUCGAGCGAACAGACGAGGAGCUUGCUCCUCUGACGUUAGCGGCGGACGGGUGAGUAACACGUGGAUAACCUACCUAUAAGACUGGGAUAACUUCGGGAAACCGGAGCUAAUACCGGAUAAUAUAUUGAACCGCAUGGUUCACUAGUGAAAGACGGUUUUGCUGUCACUUAUAGAUGGAUCCGCGCCGCAUUAGCUAGUUGGUAAGGUAACGGCUUACCAAGGCAACGAUGCGUAGCCGACCUGAGAGGGUGAUCGGCCACACUGGAACUGAGACACGGUCCAGACUCCUACGGGGGGCAGCAGUAGGGAAUCUUCCGCAAUGGGCGAGAGCCUGACGGAGCAACGCCGCGUGAGUGAUGAAGGUCUUCGGAUCGUAAAACUCUGUUAGUAGGGAAGAACAAAUGUGUAAGUAACUAUGCACGUCUUGACGGUACCUAAUCAGAAAGCCACGGCUAACUACGUG
rnacentral:rRNA from 1 species